ACUACUGGCCUCAAGUCAUCUGCCCGUCUUGGCCUCCCAGUGUACCAGGAUUACAGCCUUCCACCAUGGGAUGACACAGCAAGAAGGCCCUUGACAGAUGCCAGCACUUUCAUAUGGAACUUCCCAGACCCCAGGACCAUGAGAAGAGAAGCUGCGAUGCCCCGGGACAUACUGAGACACCUUCAGAGAGAAGCAACGACACACACCGGGCUGGUGGCCCUGCUGGGGGCCCUCACGGUGACCCAGCCCCCUCUGCGUGGGACGGCCCCUCCUCCCGUGUGACCGACCUUGAGGCCGUUACCUUCAGCUGUUCUAGAUCUGGGCGCUCUUUGGCCACCACAGCGGCCAAGAGUUGGUCCUCGAGUCCAUCCCUGGUGACCAGGAAGUUGAUG